rnacentral:misc_RNA from 1 species
CAACAAUCUCGACGACCGCCGCUUAAACCACUUUCGUUAUCACGGUUAAAGCACCCGAGUGGAUUCUAGAAGCGGUGACGCGAUCGUUCAGAAAUUCGAACCAUGUUUAAGCGAGAUGCAUCGCGCUAUAAAUCCGACAAAAGGGAAGAAGCUUGUGAGAAAGCGUGGAGACGCGACAUACCUUAGAGCGAGAAUAUACGUUUGGAUGAAACGAUGUUUGCAUUUAACGAAUGGCUAACAUAGUCUUGUUUGGAAGUAGAUGAUAUUUUUGAGCGUUUGAUAUUGUAAUUUGAUAAAGAUCGACAGACAUUACGCGGAAGAAGAGCGUCAGAAUGUCAAGGUAAAAUAGGGACUUGGAGCACCUGGUAUUAAAAACACGAAAGAUAACGAAUCCAUGUUUGUUCUAUCAACUGUAGAGUUCCAAGAGAUGACUAAUAAUCUUUAAAAAACAUAGACCCAUCGAUCGAACGAAGAAUCGGCAGACAGACUGAUCAACUCUUUUCGAUUUUUUAAUUUUAUCACUCAAUUACAUGAUUACGUUUAAUGUUUCAGAGGAAUAAAUUAUUUGCUGUUAUAUAUGUAUUUGUUGCAAGAAAAU